AGUCAUAUGCUUGUCUYAAAGAUUAAGCCAUGCAGUCUAGUAUAGCAUUAUACCGUGAAAACUGCGAAUGGCUCAUUAAAUCAGUUAUCGUUUAUUUGAUAGUACCUUACUACUUGGAUAACCGUGGUAAUUCUAGAGCUAAUACAUGCUGAAAACCCCAACUUCGGGAGGGGUGUAUUUAUUAGAUAAAAAACCAACGCCCUUCGGGGCUUCUUGGUGAUUCAUGAUAACUUCACGGAUCGCAUGGCCUUGCGCCGGCGACGGUUCAUUCAAAUUUCUGCCCUAUCAACUUUCGAUGGUAAGGUAUUGGCUUACCAUGGUUUCAACGGGUAACGGGGAAUGGG
rnacentral:rRNA from 1 species